rnacentral:rRNA from 1 species
AAUGGCGUAAUGAUGGCCAGGCUGUCUCCACCCGAGACUCAGUGAAAUUGAACUCGCUGUGAAGAUGCAGUGUACCCGCGGCAAGACGGAAAGACCCCGUGAACCUUUACUAUAGCUUGACACUGAACAUUGAGCCUUGAUGUGUAGGAUAGGUGGGAGGCUUUGAAGUGUGGACGCCAGUCUGCAUGGAGCCGGCCUUGAAAUACCACCCUUUAAUGUUUGAUGUUCUAACGUGGACCCGUGAUCCGGGUUGCGGACAGUGUCUGGUGGGUAGUUUGACUGGGGCGGUCUCCUCCUAAAGAGUAACGGAGGAGCACGAAGGUUGGCUAAUCCUGGUCGGACAUCAGGAGGUUAGUGCAAUGGCAUAAGCCAGCUUGACUGCGAGCGUGACGGCGCGAGCAGGUGCGAAAGCAGGUCAUAGUGAUCCGGUGGUUCUGAAUGGAAGGGCCAUCGCUCAACGGAUAAAAGGUACUCCGGGGAUAACAGGCUGAUACCGCCCAAGAGUUCAUAUCGACGGCGGUGUUUGGCACCUCGAUGUCGGCUCAUCACAUCCUGGGGCUGAAGUAGGUCCCAAGGGUAUGGCUGUUCGCCAUUUAAAGUGGUACGCGAGCUGGGUUUAGAACGUCGUGAGACAGUUCGGUCCCUAUCUGCCGUGGGCGCUGGAGAACUGAGGGGGGCUGCUCCUAGUACGAGAGGACCGGAGUGGACGCAUCACUGGUGUUCGGGUUGUCAUGCCAAUGGCACUGCCCGGUAGCUAAAUGCGGAAGAGAUAAGUGCUGAAAGCAUCUAAGCACGAAACUUGCCCCGA